rnacentral:tRNA from 1 species
GGGGUUGUGGCUCAGUGGUAGAGCGCUUGCUUAGCAUGUGUGAGGCACUGGGUUCGAUUUUCAGCACCUCA